ensembl:lncRNA
ACUGUUGUCUCUUAUGUAUUUGUGCUUGUGUACAGUACAUACCUCACAGUCAUAGUAUACUGUAUGCAUAAAUACAUUUUCUUCAAGUGUUAGGUUUAGUAUAUAGUAAUUAUAGUUAGCUUUAUAUAAAUGUUUAUAGUACUAUAUAAGUAAACAUGCACGUGUGUGUUCACAGCAGGGGGGGAGCAGUCAGGGAUUGUGUCCUGCUGAGGAAGACUGUACAGCUGGAUGACCUAAGCAUCGACCACUCACAGGCUGUUGUCCAGAACAACAUUGUGGUGAUAAAACAGAUACCAGAGAGGACCAUCAUUCAUCCCUGUUCAGCACAGGAAGAGACGGUUACCACAGAGGAAACUAAGAGCAGCUACAGUGCUGUUCAGUCAGCCUUCCAGUUGCAGCUGCUUAACAACAGUCAGCAGCUGGGAUCAGAGUUUCCCAUCAGCCCCGGCAGCAAUGCCAGUAUCUCUGCUGACUCACUGAGAACUCAACUCCAGCACCUACUGGUUAGUCUCCUCACCACUUUCCUGCAUUUGGGGUGCAUUUUGUAUACAAAUAGCUGUGUGCUCAUUUAGGCUCUUAAGAACCGGACAGAGGAUCUGUGGCGUGAGUUUGAGCUUCAGUAUUCCCAGAACUCUCAGCACAUGGAAGAUGGCUGUAAUAUGGAGCAGGAGAGAACACUGCUUAUUCAACAGUGGAAGGAACAACAGAUGUGCUUUCAGGCCAGGUGAGACAUGUAGUCAAUCCAGAAUGCAGAUAAACUCUGUGGAUAAGGAAAAAUAUUAAUUAUAAUAAUUUCUCAUUCAUUUCUGAAAAGUAUUUAUGGAAACAGUUCAGAGUAAAUAAAUAUAAACUAUUUUGUCCAAUAUUCAACUUCAUUGAAAUCUAUUUUCAGGCCUCCCAUGUGGAGCUCUAUUUCUGUGGUGCACAGAGUUGUUGUUGUUUAAAAGCUGGUCCAAUUUUGUCACUUAUAAUGUUUCAUGACCAUGUUGCAAGGGAGCUUGCUAACUUUUGGAGCAGAGCUACUGUUAGCCAAAAGUAUAACACUGUGUCUACACCAGACUUGAGCAGUGC